rnacentral:rRNA from 2 species
AGUCUGAUGGAGCAACGCCGCGUGAGUGAAGAAGGCUUUCGGGUCGUAAAACUCUGUUGUUGGAGAAGAAUGGUCGGCAGAGUAACUGUUGUCGGCGUGACGGUAUCCAACCAGAAAGCCACGGCUAACUACGUGCCAGCAGCCGCGGUAAUACGUAGGUGGCAAGCGUUAUCCGGAUUUAUUGGGCGUAAAGCGAGCGCAGGCGGUUUUUUAAGUCUGAUGUGAAAGCCCUCGGCUUAACCGAGGAAGUGCAUCGGAAACUGGGAAACUUGAGUGCAGAAGAGGACAGUGGAACUCCAUGUGUAGCGGUGAAAUGCGUAGAUAUAUGGAAGAACACCAGUGGCGAAGGCGGCUGUCUGGUCUGUAACUGACGCUGAGGCUCGAAAGCAUGGGUAGCGAACAGGAUUAGAUACCCUGGUAGUCCAUGCCGUAAACGAUGAAUACUAGGUGUUGGAGGGUUUCCGCCCUUCAGUGCCGCAGCUAACGCAUUAAGCAUUCCGCCUGGGGAUUACGACCGCAAGGUUGAAACUCAAAGGAAUUGACGGGGGCCCGCACAAGCGGUGGAGCAUGUGGUUUAAUUCGAAGCAACGCGAAGAACCUUACCAGGUCUUG